UAACAAGGUUUCCGUAGGUGAACCUGCGGAAGGAUCAUUGUCGAAACCUGCAUAGCAGAACGACUCGUGAACAUGUAACACAACACUUGGGUGAGCUUUGGGGCCUUUGGGUGCCAUUGUGAACCUAAUGGCUAAGCCGUGCCAUGUUAGGCAGUGCUUCAGCCUGUCUGGCAUGCACAACUUAGUCUAUGAACCAACCCCGGCGCAAGACGCGCCAAGGAAAACAUUAAAUGAAAAGGAGGGCACUUCUAACUGGUCCCGGCUUCGGUGCGCCGGAAAGAAUGUUGUCAUCCUUUCUUUAAAAAAACGACUCUCGGCAACGGAUAUCUCGGCUCUCGCAUCGAUGAAGAACGCAGCGAAAUGCGAUACUUGGUGUGAAUUGCAGAAUCCCGUGAACCAUCGAGUUUUUGAACGCAAGUUGCGCCCAAAGCCUUCUGGCCGAGGGCACGUCUGCCUGGGUGUCACGCAACAUCGCACCCAAUUCAUUAGGGUGCGGAAUAUGGCCUCCCGUGCGUUUAAUCUCGCGGUUGGCAGAAAAUAAUGGUCCUAGGCUGCGAAUGCCGCGACAAUCGGUGGUUGCAAGACCCUCGGGCAUAGUCGCGCGCGUAUGCUUUUGGAUAAGUAGACCCUUUUGCGUCCUUUGUGGCACGCUCACAUCGCGACCCCAGGUCAGCGGGAUUACCCGCUGAGUUUA
rnacentral:rRNA from 1 species